CAGCAGCCGCGGGAAUACGAAGGGGGCUAGCGUUGCUCGGAAUUACUGGGCGUAAAGGGAGCGUAGGCGGACAUUUAAGUCAGGGGUGAAAUCCCGGGGCUCAACCUCGGAAUUGCCUUUGAUACUGGGUGUCUUGAGUAUGAGAGAGGUAUGUGGAACUCCGAGUGUAGAGGUGAAAUUCGUAGAUAUUCGGAAGAACACCAGUGGCGAAGGCGACAUACUGGCUCAUUACUGACGCUGAGGCUCGAAAGCGUGGGGAGCAAACAGGAUUAGAUACCCCUGUAGUCCCUGUCUCUUAUAC
rnacentral:rRNA from 1 species